UUUGGGGUGUGCGAAAUAUUUAUGAUUUUGAUGUGUCAACAACGGCUUAAUAAACCAAACAACCUAAAAGGAUUGGGAAUAUCACCUACAGAAAAAUAAUAAUAGUAAUAAGUGUUAAUCGCUAAACUAAGCUGAAAGAUUUGGCACGCUUGAAAGACGCCGAAGUUGGGGAGUUAACAGCUGUUUGGAUUCUCAUUCUGACGGCACCCAUUCACAGCAGAUGAUCAAUUGGUGCAUUUCUCCAAACUGUUCUGAUGAAGAAACAAACUCCUUGACAUCUUGGAUAGCCUGAGGUGGUUUUAGGGUUCACGGUGUUCCGUUGCCAUGGCAAGUAAAAUUGGACAUAACUUCACACAGAAAAGGCAUGAACUCUCGAGGUAUGGAAGUCACGGCCAACAGACUGGAUCUCAGCGUUCCCUUCCUCUCUCUUGUCCCGGGGGUCUGUCUGUGGCGUCCAUCCAGGUCGAAGGCGCAGG